rnacentral:tRNA from 1 species
GCAGUGGUGGUUCAGUGGUAGAAUUCUCGCUUUCCAUGUGGGAGACCCAGGUUUGAUUUCCAGCCAGUACA